ACACCGGCAGCUCUAGUGGUAGCUGUUUUUAUUGGGCCUAAAGCGUUCGUAGCCGGUUUGAUAAGUCACUGGUGAAAUCCUGUAGCUUAACUGUGGGAAUUGCUGGUGAUACUGUUGAACUUGAGGUCGGGAGAGGUUAGCGGUACUCCCAGGGUAGAGGUGAAAUUCUGUAAUCCUGGGAGGACCACCUGUGGCGAAGGCGGCUAACUGGAACGAACCUGACGGUGAGGGACGAAAGCUAGGGGCGCGAACCGGAUUAGAUACCCGGGUAGUCCUAGCCGUAAACGAUGCGGACUUGGUGUUGGGAUGGCUUUGAGCCGCUCCGGUGCCGAAGGGAAGCUGUUAAGUCCGCCGCCUGGGAAGUACGGUCGCAAGACUAAAACUCAAAUGAAUUGACGGG
rnacentral:rRNA from 1 species